AGUCGAACGGAGAUAUAUAUUUAGUUUACUAGAAAUAUAUCUUAGUGGCGGACGGGUGAGUAACACGUGGGCAACCUGCCUUAGAGUGGGGGAUAACAGCGAGAAAUCGUUGCUAAUACCGCAUGAAAUUAGAGUUUUGCAUGAAACUUUAAUGAAAGGAGAAAUCCGCUAUAAGAUGGGCCCGCGCCUGAUUAGCUAGUUGGUGAGGUAACAGCUCACCAAGGCGACGAUCAGUAGCCGAUCUGAGAGGAUGACCGGCCACACUGGAACUGAGACACGGUCCAGACUCCUACGGGAGGCAGCAGUGGGGAAUAUUGCACAAUGGGGGAAACCCUGAUGCAGCAACGCCGCGUGGAGGAAGAAGGUUUUCGGAUUGUAAACUCCUGUCUUUUGGGACGAUAAUGACGGUACCAAAAGAGGAAGCCACGGCUAACUACGUGCCAGCAGCCGCGGUAAUACGUAGGUGGCGAGCGUUGUCCGGAAUUACUGGGCGUAAAGGGCGCGUAGGCGGCUAAUCAAGUCAGAUGUGAAAACCCUAGGCUUAACCUGGGGAUUGCAUUUGAAACUGACUAGCUCGAGUGUCGGAGAGGAAAGCGGAAUUCCUAGUGUAGCGGUGAAAUGCGUAGAUAUUAGGAGGAACACCAGUGGCGAAGGCGGCUUUCUGGACGAUAACUGACGCUGAGGCGCGAAAGCGUGGGGAGCAAACAGGAUUAGAUACCCUGGUAGUCCACGCCGUA
rnacentral:rRNA from 1 species